AUACUAUUUGGACCAAGUCUUUUUUCUUCAUGUUAAUCGACGAGGCUCCAGCGUUGAGCGUCUGCCUCGCCCUUGGGCCUGGCUCGCUUUAAAUGUAUUAGCUGGGUCGGCUGGUUGCAGCCUUCACCUUUGGUAUGAUAAGUAUUAUGCCGUCGGUUGAGGGUAGCGCCGUUCCAUGGUCGCCUGCUUCUAAUCUAGGAGUAGCAUCGAAACUCGCUGUGCUUGCACGGCCUGGGACGAUGCUUCCUCGCACUACAUUCAA
rnacentral:misc_RNA from 1 species